AUUAACACUUUUCCAUUUCUCUAACUGUUGUCUCUCUCUCUUUCAACCCUAGUUCUCUCUCAAAAAUACAUAAUCAAAACCCUAGUUCACAAUCUCAGAUAGAAAAUACCACAACUCGACGGUUUGAAGGCAGCGGCGACGGCGACUUGGUGAUGACGACGACGGUGAGUUGGUCGUGACGGUGAUGGCGAGUUGGAGGUUUUUUGUCUUUCUUCUAUAUCGGAACCUCUUUUGAUGAAAAAUAUACUAUUUAUUUAUGAUUAAAAUUAUUUUUUUGUAUAUAGUAAGUGUUGAUCCCUCUUCAGCUAAUUUUUCUUCAAAUAUUGAAUCCUUUUAAUUGAAAUUUUGGGUUGAUAAGAAAAUUUAUUUUGUUCUUAGCGUCGUUUCAGUCCUUAGUUAUGCCAUUUAUGAAUUUACUAGAUUGCUUGUUAUAUGUACCGAAGCUGGAGUAAAAUGAGUUGGAUAGAUUAAAAGUAUAAAUUGUCCUAAAUGAUUGUUGUUCUAUUUUACAGGACUUGUCUAAGUAAUAUCUUAGUUUUCAGAUAUUGUUUUCCAUUAGUAAUUCAAUAGCUAGGUUUAUCUGGUGUGUUUACAAAUUGGAUCGUUCUAUUUUUGUGGAAGUUAUAGUCGAUCUUGGUUCUUCUUGUAUGAGUGACCUUGUUUGAGAGUUGUAAGAUGGUAUACUGUUGGUCGUGAAUGUUAUAAAGUUGCUGCAAGUGUUUACUAAGAUAGUGAUAGUAUUUCAAUGGAAAGCCAAUAAAGUUGAUUAUCCACAGUGAAAGAAUAAAAGAGGUUCAACAAAUCAACACUUUUUUGUUCUGGAUGUGCUAUAUUGUCUUGUUGACUUUUUUAGAGUGUAUAUUGUAUGGACGCCAAUUUGUAGAGUGGUGGACUCGUGAACUUGGGGAAGCGAGUUGUUAAUCAGAUUAGCUACGCUGGUGCUGGAACUACUGCUAACUUGCCUUCUCUCUCUUCCAGGUAUACUUUGUGCUUUGCUUUUUCCUUCUACCGUUUUACGUUGGCUAUUCAGUGUUUAUUUUGUAGUUCAUUUGUUUGUAUAGAUGAGCUUAAUGUUAGAUAAGUGUUGGUGUACUUAGUAUAUUUUGCGGUUUUUGGUUGAUUUCAGAGUGGUUUUUGGAUGACUAAUGGUACUACUGCUUUUGCUUGGCUUAGCGAAUUCAUGGUUAAUUAAAAGAUUUUAGAUUGUUUACAAAAUUGUUGUUGAAACACUUUGUACUAAGUGCCAGUGCUGACACAUUCACAAGGGUUAGUAUAAUUUUGAACUUGCUGUGAAGAAUUAGGGAAAAAGUAAGAGUAAACAGAAGAGAAAUGAGAUCUAUAAGAUGCAUCAGAAAAAGUAUCACCUCCACUUCCACUGCUAGUACUACUACCACUUAAAGAGAAAAUAUUAGUGAACCAUGGAGAAGAAGAUUUAGGAGAAGGACUAAAAGCCAAGAAGAAAGUAACAAGAAUGAAAACAAACAUGAAACCAUAUGCACAAGUAACGGUUCUUUUAGUUUUCAGAAAAGAGAAAUGAGUUUUCAGUUCAGUAAUGAGUGUUUUUCCACCAUUAAUAGGUGUAUAUUUUACUGUAUUAGCCAUGUCUUCCUGGCGAGAAAAAUAAUGUAUAGAUCAAAGUGAAUAUCAGCAAUGUAAUGGUGCAUCAGCCAAUCAUCCUUAAGUGAGUUUCAUGUCAGUUAAUUCCCAGAAAGUCAUGCACAAAGUGUAUUCUAUUUAUUCAGAAAAGAGAUAAAGAGUUGGAGCAGUAGCCACUCUUACAUCAUCUUUAAGAGUUUUUUCUUGUUAUUCACUCCUCCAUUGAGGAUAAAUUGAGUUCCUAUAAAAAUGAAAUGGAAUAUAUGUAGUUACCAAGAGGGGGAAAAGAAUAUUGUAAAAGUUAGAAAAUGCAACAAGGUAAAGACCUUUCCAUCAGAAAAAGCAACAAGUAAGCCUUUCUUUCCAAUCUCAUCAAGUUCCUUAAGUUUUUUCGGGAAAGUAGAGUGUAUGCAGAUCCUACCCGGUUGAGAGUUCUUUUUUGAAAUACCUUCGACUCAAGUAACACUUAACGAAUUAAAGGUAUGGUUAAUAAAGUGAUAGUUUCUAUUUUGCUUCAUAUGUUUGUAUCUUGGUGACUAAGAAUGCUUUUUGGAUGAAAAAAUUUAUUCUUAGAGCAACAUACUGUAGUCCGGGCGUUCUAAUGCUAGUAGUCUACUAUGGUUUUGUUGGUGCAUUUGAACUUUAAGUGAGAAGUGUAAAAUUUUAAGUAAAGUACUGCACAGUAGUUUGGCUUAUAUGUUAUAUUAGUUGUAGGGCAAAAAAUAGUAGAAUAGUUGAAAAGUUGGUUUAGUAGAGAAAACAUCACAUUAGACUUGAGUUGUUUUAGUGGUUUAAUGAAUUUGAAUUCCUGAAAGUUGAAUAUAAACUGAAUACUAUCAAGUUUGCUUAUCAUGGAUAUUUACAUGCUAGUCAUAAGCUCCUUUUUCUUAUCAGGAUAAUUAUGUAUGAUUGUCCAUACAGUAGAGUGUAUGUAGAUCUUACCACUACCUCGCGGGUGUAGUGAAGCUGUUUCCGAAGAUUCUCGAUUCAAUUGAAAGAAAUCUAAAUAGUUGUUUUAGACUCUCAAGUUACCUAAAAGAUGACCAAUAGUAAUUGAAGGAAAAGGACAUGAUAUCUACUAUAACGUGUUAAAAUAUAACAUGGACAAGUGCACUAGAAAUGCUAGAAACAAUCCCUGAUGAUCAUGUCAUUCAAAAAUUCAAACUGAGUUUUGACUCAAACUGUGAUUCCCUUAAUUUUUGCUACUUUUCGAAUUCCCUCGUCUUCCUUAACCCCCUCUCUUCCUCAGUCAGUUUCUACCACUUUUGGCUUUGGAUUUCAAUUCACAUCUGGUGGUUCGUUCAUACUUGCAUUAUCUCUUUUUCUAAAAUUUUGCAGGAAUAUGAAAAUGGAAAAAAAUAGCCCACUUUUCUUGAGGUCUACGAAGAGACGCAUAGGAAGAAAAAGAAGGACGGUACAAACUAUGGAAGAAAUGAAAGCGAUGAAAAAGCAAAUUAUGGAAUUGACGUAGCAAUGUGCAGCUAACGAUGCUAAGUUUGCUAAAUUUAAGGAGUUGGUUAAUAAGCACAUGCCUCAAGUAUUUCAUGAUGAGGAAGAUAGUGAAUCUGAUGAUAACUAGAUUGUAGUUAUUGUUCUUGUUUUUUGUUGUGACAUUUAGAGUUUAAUCUAUUUGAUUUGAUGUUUGUUUUGGAUGUUUUGAAGUGGUUGUAUUUAUAAAUUUUUGUCGUGUUUGAUCCUAUUAUGAAAAAUACAUUAGUUAUGUUGUUUAUAAUCUGAGAGCAGUGUAAGCUAAUGCAAGAUUUAAUUAUAUAAUUACUAGGUGAAUAUUUUUAUUGAUUAUUAAAUAAUUAUUUAUUAGCUUUCCGACUACGGUGGUUGAAAUAAUUAUAAUUAUU
rnacentral:lncRNA from 1 species